GACGAACGCUGGCGGCGUGCUUAACACAUGCAAGUCGAACGGAAAGGCCCUGCUUUUGUGUGGUGCUAGAGUGGCUAACGGGUGAGUAACACGUGAGUAACCUGCCCUUGACUUUGGGAUAACUUCAGGAAACUUGGGUUAAUACCCGAUCGGCGCUCCUGCUGCUUGGUUGGGCUUGUACAGUUUUAGCGGUUGGGGAUGGACUCGCGGCUGAUUAUUUUGUUGGUCGGGGAGUGGCUUACCAUGGGUUUGGCAGGUAGUCGGGCUUAGAGGGUGACCGGCCACAUUGGGGCUGCGAUACGGCCCACACACCUACGGGAGGAAGGCGUCGGGAAUAUUGCACAAUGGGCGGAAGCCUGAUACAGCAACGCCGCGUGCGGGAUGUCGGCCUUCGGGUUGUAAAGCGCCUUAGGCUAUGACGAAGAGUGAGCGACGGCAAUGGGAAAAGAAGCACCGGCUCCCUACGGG
rnacentral:rRNA from 1 species